rnacentral:rRNA from 1 species
UACGUAGGGCGCAAGCGUUGUCCGGAAUUAUUGGGCGUAAAGAGCGUGUAGGCGGCCGUACAGGUCAGCUGUGAAAACUCGAGGCUCAACCUCGAGACGUCGGUUGAAACCGUACGGCUAGAGUCCGGAAGAGGAGAGUGGAAUUCCCGGUGUAGCGGUGAAAUGCGCAGAUAUCGGGAAGAACACCCGUGGCGAAGGCGGCUCUCUGGGACGGUACUGACGCUGAGACGCGAAAGCGUGGGGAGCAAACAGG